rnacentral:lncRNA from 1 species
AUUUUAUCCCUCAAGGAAACAGAUCUGCAGAGGUGUGGAGAUAUAGUAUCCAAAAAUAUCCACACUAAAGGUAGAAAGGAUGAGAUCUGCAAUAGAAUAAAAACAAGAAGGAGAACUUCAGAUAUCUUCAUUAUUUCCUGUGAUGUGGCAGAUGAAAUGCUCUCUUGAAGGAAGAAAGGAAACACUUGUUGAGGGCUUAAGGAGGAAGAAGAGCUGAGCAAAGAGGAAAAAGCCCCUUAUAAAACCAUCAAAUCUCAUGAGAACUCACUGACUUCACAAGAACAGCAGUAUGGGGAUCAUUGCCCCUGGGAUUCAAUUACCUCCCACUGGCUGCUCCCAUGACAUGUGGGGAUUAUGGAAACUAUAACAUGAGAUUUGGGAGAGGACACAGUCAAACCAUAUUACCUACACAGAUGUACAAAUACAAAUAUCAAUAAAAUAAUAGUAUGGGAAUGGGGAGAAAAUGAGAAGACAAAGGUCAAAGGGCACAAACUAGCAGUUAUGUAUUAUGAAUAAGUCUAAAGAUAUAAAGUCAAUGUAAUAUGAAUAAAUC